rnacentral:rRNA from 1 species
CGCGUGGGAAUCUGCCCAGUAGUGGGGGACAACAGUUGGAAACGACUGCUAAUACCGCAUACGCCCUACGGGGGAAAGGAGGGGAUCUUCGGACCUUUCGCUAUUGGAUGAGCCCGCGUGAGAUUAGGUAGUUGGUGGGGUAAUGGCCUACCAAGCCCGCGAUCUCUAGCUGGUCUGAGAGGAUGAUCAGCCACACUGGAACUGAGACACGGUCCAGACUCCUACGGGAGGCAGCAGUGGGGAAUAUUGCACAAUGGGCGAAAGCCUGAUGCAGCCAUGCCGCGUGUGUGAAGAAGGCCU